UUAUCAUGGUUUGGAACUUUUAAUUGCCAUUACAAAGCCAUUAGUUGUGUGAGAUUCAAUCAUAACUCCUCUUCGACUUUCUUCUGCACUAGUUAAAGAUAUCACAUUAUUCAGGGAUGAUAUCUUUUCUUUCUCAGGGUCUCAACUCUUACCUAAUUAUAUUUCUCAUUAAGUCCUGCCAUAAAUUGGUGUUCCCUAUUAUUCUCAACAACUCUUUUUAAGGUUGCCAUGUCUUUGCUGCUCUUCUUGGUGAUACGAUGAUUUUGAUUAAGUUUUUGUCAUAAACCUUUUAGAAGGUUGGAAUAUUCUAUAACUAUUUUGUUGUCUUUUAUUUGUCCAACUUUUGAUGGUUAGAUCAUACAUCUAAACUGUAUCUUUUUCCUUAAAAUAGGUUUCUCAUAGUAAAUUCCAAAUUUCCUUUGUCGUAGGCAGACACAUAAUUAUUUUCCUAAUCUGUGUUGUCAUAGAGUUCAAAAGCCAGGUUAUAAUCGGGUAUCUUUCAGCUUUCGUCCAGUGCAAAAGAGAUGACUUAAUUUUCCUCUAUCCUUGAGAGUGGUUUGAAUUAGUUGUGAUCAACUUGAGUAAUCUUAGCUGUUAAAGUGCUAGGCAACCUGCUCCAGACAGGUUAAGAAAAGGCAAUAAAGUCCAAAUAUAGUUUUCUUUUAGUAACUAUGCCUGAUUGUUUUUCGGGAGUUUAGGUUAAGAAAAGGAAAUUGAAUUUCAUAAUGGAUUUUAGGAAAUCAGAGAGAGCAGAAGAGAACUUAGAGAAGAAUUGAGAAGAAAGAGUAGAGAGAAAGAAGGAUUUCUGAUUAGGGUUUGAUCUUUGAUUCUGUGUAUACGCAUAUUGAUUAUCCAUCAAUUUUCCUUAUUUCCACUCAGCACUACCAUAAGUUCAGUAAAUUCUAACAAGAAAGCUAACUGAAAACAGAAUUCAAGGUAAGAGAACAAGUAACUUCAAGAGAAAUGAUUUAGAACAUCCCUGAAAAUGGUCAAUGUCCCUGUUUUGUCUUUGUCAUUUCUGGUGUGGUCCUAUACUCCUUUGGGUUUUUACUUUCCAGUUCCAUGUGUGUCAUCUCUUCUGAUCUCCUGAUACUUCUAUUCUUUUAGAACUGUGUUAGUAUGACUAGUAUAGUCGAAGAAUAUACGUUGUAAUAUUUUUGCCUUUACUGCUUUUGAUUGCCUUUUUUCUGUUGUCUUAACCUCUAAGAUCAAUUUUCUCAAAUAGUAUCAUGUUUAAAUUGUGCAACGGAAUAACUUAAAUACUAUUACUUAGGUGGAUCAGUUGUGGCGGCAUUUGCAAAUUCCUUUAGUCCUUUAUAUUUUGUGGUUAGACAAGUUAAGGAAGUCAUGUCAACAGAAGAUCCAUGUGAUUUAGCAUAUGAAUUUGGAGAUGGGCUCCUGGAUAUUGAAGAAUACCCACAAGGCUUCCCAAGACCAGUGAGGCAUCCGUAUCCUUUCAACGAUCAGGUUGUAGUAUACAUUCGUCAUAUUGGGCCUGGAGUUUCAAUAGGACAAGUAUGGCAAGAAGGGAAGCAAUUACAACAAGUGCCUCACAAGUUGUGUGGUGAAAUUUUAAUGGUGAAAGAUUGUUCGUGACUCUUCUAAAUAGGAUAAAUCUACACUUAUGUAUAUCAAAUCAUAUUUUUAGCUUUUAAUUUAUUUAAACUAGAUUAUGAAAGUAACUAAUUGUCCAUUCAUUCAGUGAUACUCUCUCUUAUAUUCAUUUUACUUCAUCUCUUAUUAUUGAUUGUAUUACACUCUUGUAUAAGUCAUUAUUAAGAGGUAAUUGGAAUUUUGAAAAACAUAAUUCA